GCAUGCUGGAGGUAUCAGAAGUGCGAAUGCUGACAUAAGUAACGAUAAAGCGGGUGAAAAGCCCGCUCGCCGGAAGACCAAGGGUUCCUGUCCAACGUUAAUCGGGGCAGGGUGAGUCGACCCCUAAGGCGAGGCCGAAAGGCGUAGUCGAUGGGAAACAGGUUAAUAUUCCUGUACUUGGUGUUACUGCGAAGGGGGGACGGAGAAGGCUAUGUUGGCCGGGCGACGGUUGUCCCGGUUUAAGCGUGUAGGCUGGUUUUCCAGGCAAAUCCGGAAAAUCAAGGCUGAGGCGUGAUGACGAGGCACUACGGUGCUGAAGCAACAAAUGCCCUGCUUCCAGGAAAAGCCUCUAAGCAUCAGGUAACAUCAAAUCGUACCCCAAACCGACACAGGUGGUCAGGUAGAGAAUACCAAGGCGCUUGAGAGAACUCGGGUGAAGGAACUAGGCAAAAUGGUGCCGUAACUUCGGGAGAAGG
rnacentral:rRNA from 1 species